GUAUAUACGCUAUCAUACUUUUGUACAUUUCUUUAAUGAACAUUUGAUAAGAUUAUAUUUAAAUUGAUUGCAUGUACACUGAUUUUCGAUCUGUAUUUUCUCGAAUCAACAAUGACGUGUUAUAGUAAGGUGUUGAACCUUCAUCGGGGAAAGUUAUUACAACUUAAGAACUUAUUACAUAUUGGAAUUAAACAUUAUUCUCGUUUUUUUUCUAUAGAAUAGUGCGAUCUUUUAAAAGAAAAAUCAACAGAGGAUUUGUAAGUGUAGAACGUAUGCGACAACAGCGAAGGAAGUAAAAAACGUCUCUUGGAAAGACAGCAAAUGUGUAACAUUAAUGUUAAUAUUAAAUUUAUGACUCAGUAACGUUAUAUGAAAAGGAAGCAGAAGCUGUAAUAUGCAUAAAUGUAACAACUUGAUUCGUAGUCAGAAAUUUACCUAUUAAAGGAAAUUUUCAAGUUUUAUUACUUAAAAAUUUAUCCACGCAAAUUAGAUAAACAUUGACUACUUAAAGAUGCACUUGAAAUAAUGCAUAGAUAUACAUCGAUAUAUACAUUAAUCCAGAAAAAUUUCCUAAACAAAAAUUGUUACAACUAACGAUCUCUCCUACAUCGAAGCGUCCUAAUUAUCUGCAUUAUCGUGCAGCUCGCUAUUGGGUCCCUCAUUACGCGCGCGGAGCAUCCUUCCGUGGCUAAGGCGAUGAAGUAAGAGGUAUAACGCUUGUCGUUUCGCCACCGAGGUCGAGCCGAUCGAGCGCUGGAUAAUUAUUGGGUUCAGGAAUGAGCCGAUGUCGGUGUCGACAAUGAAAAAUCCCUGAAGGAGGAUUAAUCCUCACCUACAGCGGCACCGACGACGUGUCCCGGCGCGUCCUCAGAGGCUGAAGGACGUACUCUCCUUGCGGAAGUCCUCCGUUCGAAAUCUUGCCGUGCACGUUUCCCAUCAAUCUUGUUUAUGCAUAUUAGAGGUAACGCGUAUAUGUAAGUACACCGGGCGAUACACGAUAUCACGGUGAAAGAAAAAGGAUUAACUAUGUUGUCGCGCAUCAAUCUCCGCUCCGCGCGCGAGGGCUUCUUCUUUGCGCCGACCGGUUCCACGGUGCGUCUCACACGGUGCGUGUUAUUAGCCACCUUCGUUUCUUUCACAAACGUUAAUGUCGACUUUUUUUUUCUUUCAAGGCAAAUGUCUCCAUAAAUACGGCUGCUAUUCAAUACCGUGCACCUCAUAAGUUAUCAUUUGAAAUCGAACCUUCCAUUAUCGGGUAAAUUGCCAGAUCGGUGACUCGACGUCACUUGCAAGGAAACAUGUGUAGCAAUACGUUCGCAAUACAAGAAACGUCUGCGUAAUAGCUUCUCUUCGUGCAAAUGCGCGACAGAGGUAAUUAAUCCCGUGUAAAUGUAAAAGAAGAGGAUAAGGGACGAAGGAUGCGUAACUGUUGUGCUGGAAUUUCGAUAAGCAUAAGAAGGAGCUGCCGGACGCGGACGCCGCGUUAAUCUCGAUACGUCGUGUGUCACCGGAGGUGGUCCACGAUGAUGAAUGCGAAGCCUUAGGCGGACCUCAAGAGAGGACGGCAGGUAGCCGGAUAGUCGACAACACACAGCAGGGGGCUCUUCUCAUCUUGGUGGUACAGUAUUGAGUCGAACAGCAAGGUAACAUUGGCCUCGCCCCGUAACACCAAAGAAAAGAAAGUGGUACAAUGUAACUUGAACGAUGUAACUCAUAACGUGACGACAGGUGAAAGAUGUAUUACGGUGUAUUAAUCCUUUUGGCGCUGAAUUAAAUAUACUCCAAGGUUUUUGGGCGUUCGUAAAUUUUCAUUUAUCGUCGAAACACUCAAUUUCAUUCUCAAUAUUUUUAUAACUUUUCUUUAUAUAUUUAUAUUGUUUAUUAGACAAUUUCGGUUUAUUCAUUUUUACGUAAGCAAUUUAAAAAAAAAAUGCGACAACUCAAAUAAGAGGGACGUAACGUACAUCUUAUCCUUUUAAGGAGUGCCACCUGUACAAGUCGUGGGAGCACAAAAUCAGAGAGGAAAAGAGAUCGAAAUUAUAGCAACAAUCUGAGCGUAGGCAAGGUACGGAUCUUCAUUGUUCAACGCCAAAACGGGAGUCGUAGACUUGUCUGAUGCCGGAAGCGAUUAAUUUUACGAGUGUUCGUUUGCCGUACAAUUAUAGAUACUUAGCGAAUGAAAGGAAACAUCGCGUCGUAGGUGUCUUUCUAAUCGGAUGACCGCUUGUCAAAGCGACGCUAAAUUAGAUCGACCAAAUCAGUAGUUUGUAAUAGCUGAAAAUAAUUGAAGCACUUUAAUCAUGAUGCAGAGUCUUAGAAAGCAAAAUAAGCAUGCGAGAGGAAAGAAACGUUCAAAAUAAAACCGUCAAUAUAAGAAUGACUUUAGCGAAUAUAGAGUCCGUCUCAAGUGUGGCUUAGCCCACAGAGAUUGAUAUCUUGGAAAAUCCUCGUGCGAACGAGAUCGUAGCACCCGAUAAACGAUUCUCGCCAUGACUGUCCGAGACACACUGUAGGAGAUUAUUACGAGUCCUUAAACGUGCCAAGGAGGCUUUUAAGUUUUCUGGCGGAGUGCUCGAGAUGCCGCAGUGUGAUGAAGCCAUUUUUUGUCCUUCUCUCAUGUUGUUCCAGCUGCACCGCCUUUGUUUCGCGUAAUUGAAAAUUCUCCGCUAUUUUGGCAUUCCAAAAAAGAUAUCUCGUAAUAUUGUAAAAAAAAUUUUAAGAUAUCUCAAUAAUUCAUAUCUAUAAUAUUAUACAUCAAUUUUAACAGGAAAAUGGCAAAUAUUGUUUCUCCUCUUUAUACGUGUGCAUGUUUAACAUAAUUACAUUUAUAAAAAAGGAGUUACUAAAAGAUAAUACAUGGUGUUUAUGCUAAUUAUAUUUGCAUUAUACUUACAGUAAUUAAAAAUAUUAUUAAAUUGUCUGAAAGGAAAAAUGGCUGUCGUUAUGUCAUUUAAAUACAUAUUCGUCGUAUUUGCUAUCUUAAACAGCAGGUAAUAUUCGUUCUGAAAUGGCAAUUAGGGAAGUAAACGGCGCGAAGAGAAAUUUCGUGGCCAUAUAUCUAAAGGAACUGCGUUCUCGCGUGUAUUCGAAAGGUGAGGGAAACAGUUUUCGAGAAAUGCGCAGGUUUGCAUGGGGCCGCCCGACAUAAAGGGCGGGUCGCAUCCCCAUGACAACCGUUCGCCUCGCUGAUGAAUCGACUUCGUGCGCGGCACAUCGGGGUACACCGGUGAAAUGCGAUUCCUGAUUACCUCGCAAACUUGGGCCUCCUAAUUAACAAUCCACGAGCGCAUUCGUUGCUCGAGUUACAACUUUCGCGGGUUCCUAGUCGGCCGCGCUCGUGGAAAGCAGCUUUGUAAUCCGAGCGUUGAUAGGCGCUUUUUGAGGAUAGACUCAAUUAUCGUCUGCCGUUACAAGCUAUGAACACCCAAUCUAGAAUUCCAAUCAUGUACUUACGUAGAAACAUUCUCUAAUGUAAAACAUUCUAAUGAAAAAAUUCAAACAUCUCAAUUAUUCUUUGAAAUGUUGGUUAUCUCGAGGAAAUGUGAUGUGAUCAAUUUAGCUAGUUGUAAUAAUAUUCUUUUUAAUCUAUAGUUGAUUAUUUAACAAACUUUUAACUUGUAUCUGCAUUAACUAUAGCGUAAUUUUGAUUCUCAAAAUUAAUGUAGCAUUGCUCCAUCGUUUUUCUUGCAACAAAUGACAUCUUCAUCUAUUAAAAGAGAUGCAUGUCACUUGCGUGAACAAAAAACAAAGAUGUUAAGCGAACAUUGUGAAUGUAAGCAUAUUUGACGAUUUUAGCAAAAAAAUUCUUCCCUUCUUCGGGAAAGUUUUCGCGGAGAGGUGGGCUCGCGCCUCCGACAAAUGUAUCGUAAAUUGUCGUUCCGAAGUGCUUAAUGCGGUCGCGUCGCGCGAUGAGGUGCGAGUCGCGAUGGCGGAAUAGAAGAGCACGAGGAUGGGAACGAGAUGGAAAGGAGACUCUCAGAAGGGAGACGAGCCAUUUCGUCGCGCCCGCCCACUUUGAAAUUUUGAAUCCGAUGAUGAUGUCGGUAGUGCAACGAGAGCGUCAUCGGUGAGCUUGACGGCGGUCCUAAUGGCUUGAUAAUGUCGCCCGCGAAGAUAAUCGAGCGUGAGAUCGUUCGGCCGAUUUUCCACCGCAUGAAUUUUAAGGAACGACGCGGGACCGAUUUUCCAUCUUGCCUUGAAAGUGCAUCGCGUACUUUGCGGAGACGCGACGCGGACGAUGCUGCGCUUUUAAGACGACGCAAAAUAUAAAAUAUCGCAAUAGAGAAAAUUAACUCUAAAUGUCUCGCGUAGAUUCUUAAAUAUAAUCGCAAUAGGAUUUUAAAAAUUAAUUCGCUUCUUCAUUUAUUUAGAUAAGCUAUCAAUAGACAUUUUUUAAAUUUAUUACAAAUUAAGAAAUUAGAGAUUAUAAAAGUCAAGUUUAUUUUAAUCACAAUAUUUUUAUGUAUUCAUAGAACAAUUCAAGUAAUUAACUCUCUAUAAAUUGAGAAACUUGUUGACUUUUUGUUUAGCAAACAAUUGAUAUGUUGAUUUUCGAUAGAGUAUUUAGAAAUUGUAGUGCUGAUUGAUCCAACAGUGAACUUGACAACGGACCAACGCAAUAUAAUCCCAACAGUCCACAAACGUGCGAGGGGUUGGAGUCGGUGGUUCGGUUGCCCUCAAAUCAUCGCGGGGGUGUGAGGUAAAUGACGUUCGGCCAUGCAGAAGUAAUGCGAUAAUGGUUGCCAUGAAAGGCCCCUACCAUGAUAUCUGUUGCUUUGAUCCUCUUUUGGUACCUCCGCACUUUUGAAGGGUUCGACUUUCUUUCUUUCUGACAUUUUAAAUUCGCAUAGUCGAUUUGCGAGGUUGAUAACAUUUAGUUUAGCAAAUUUGUUAAUUGCACACUUUACGAUUGCAAUUGGCAAUUAUUAACAAACAGUAUUAGAAUUUAUGAAAGAAAGAAAGAAAAUUAUUUAUUAGUCGCUUUAAGAGGCUAUCUAAAGCGUAAAACUUCGUUAUAUAGUAUAGACACAUAUUCCAUGCAAUUACUACUAAUAAAAUAUUAGACGCAUAUACAGUAGUAGAGAAAAAAAAACAAAAAAGUAUUACAAGUAAAAAUAAAAAAUAAAAUUCACAUAAAAUUUACUAAACUUAUAUAAAUUUUAGAAAACAGCAAACAUAUUUCUAUAAGUUUUUAUACAACAAAAUUAAAAAAAGUUUAUAAAGGUUACAUGUCAGUAAUUGAUUAAAAAUAUCCAUAUAAAUAAUCGCUUCUCACAGUGCACUAUAUAAAGAUCAUUUGUCGUGGGAAAGGAGCUCACAGAAUAUAUUGUCAUAGUCCACUAAAUCAUACAUUCAUUAUCGACACAUAAAAAGGCGAUAUAACACGAGGCGCAUAUUACCGUAGGUACUGAACGAUUCUGUGAACGCACGAGUCAGUAAUCUCCCAUUCAGAAAAGUUAGCCGGGCAUCUCAGGUUAAUUUGCUACUUGCAUUCCGCUCAAUGGCCACGCGUGAGUGCUACAGAUGUAGUAAUGAAUGGGCACGGGUCGAGAUGCGGAUGAGGGUUGCUUUCGCUUGGAGAGCGGCACGUUUCUCUAGCUGUCGCGCUCGCGUGAAUUUGCGAUCAUAAAUGUAAAAAUUGUAAUUAUAAAAAUACAAUCUUUACUUAAUAUAAUUAAAAACUUUUUUCUUUAGCGAUUUAUAUUUAAUAAUAUUUAAAAUUUGUUUUCAUUUUAUAUUAAAUUUUAAUUCUACAAGUCUAUGUUUGGCAGUAUGUGAUUUGUAAUGUAUAUCAAUUAUAAAAAAUCUUUCAAUGAAUAAUUGAUAAGAUAUUUGAAUGAAUUUGUAAAAGAUUUUCCUAACAUUUGUGUUUUUGAUAAUAUUUGUUAAGUAUUUAUAGUUAUAACAGAGACUUGGUACCUUCUUAUAAAGAGCUGCAUUGAUAACACUUUGAUGCAGCUCCAUAUCUUCACUCUUUAAUCAAAAUCUACCGCCUGCGGAUCGCAAAAAAUGUAGCCGGAGCUCUCUUGGCGAGCAGCAAAAAUCGAUAAACACAAUCUUCAUCGACUCGAGUCCCUCCCUAUGGAUACUUGCGGCUCAACAAUCGAAGCCCGCGAUUACGGUCGAUUCCUAUCAAAUAAAGAUUAUCCAAAAAAGGGGAAUAUUACUUAGCCUCCACCACCCGAUGUGCAGGUCGCCACAUCGUUGUACGUUGAGGGACAGACGCGUCCGUAGUCGCAGUUUGUCGGCCAAUGGGACCAGACAGAAACGCAAUCGCAAUGCAGGCCAAUCCCUCUGCUCCGUUCGUCCACCCGCUCUCGCUCGCCCUCCCGUGCCCGGUAAUGACAAUCAUUACCGGGGAAUGAUUGCAGCGUCGGGACCGCCAGCGCGCCAGCCGCGCUAUUGGGGGAUGGAAACCACCUUAUAGAGUCUCUCCUCGGUCCUCGAUGCGAGCGGAUUGUCACAUGCUCCUGCUUGCACGGCAGAGCGCGUUUCCUCUUCUUCAUUCGAGUUCGAUUUUGCGGUGGAGAACUUUCUUCGUGGUGUGAGUGACCGAGACAUGGCGGUCAGUCAGUUGGAGCGAACACAAAAAAAAGUAGCGGUCGGAAGAAAGUUACAGAAGCCAUAUCGAGGCCACAUUACCGGAAUAUCCGCAUCGCGUUAUCGCGAUACUUCUUCCUCACAGUGAACCGCGACAUUCUCUCUCUCUCAUUUCUUUUCACUCUUCAUUUUAUUCUUUGUGGUAUGAGUGCAUUGUGCAAUAAAACAUGGCGACCGCUCACGUGUGUUACUCGGAACAGGUGUAACGUAGUGAAGCUAUUCUCCGGAAGCUUUGUGAUCCGUUAUCUGGAUCAAUAAUGAUCGAUUGAUUAAAUUGAAAAUCUACCCAAGUUUGGCCAAUCAAGGAGAAGCUUGAACAACAAUCGGCUUACACCCUGUUUAAAUGUUAAUAUCAAUGCCGAUCGUACAAGAAAUACCAGAUAGGUUCACCAGUUGCAUUCCUGAUGACUUAUUUUGUGAAUCGAUCACGGUGAUGUAUCGUCGACUGUACGUGCGACGUUACGCAACAUUGCCGUGGCUUUGUUUAGAGUGGCCCUCGACGAGUUCCAGUGAAAAGGUCUCCUCGUGCGUGUUGUACAGACGUAGACGUCUGCAUGGCGCACAUGUCGCUCUAGAUAUACGCUCAGUAUUGUUGUCGCUGCGGAAUUGCCAAACCGCGAGCCGAUUAUUGUAUUCAGAUUUGUCGAUACUUGAAUUUCCUUCGGCGUUCAUAUUUAUUGAUUUGUUGCACGUCACGUAUAAUGACAGGCCUUAUCACGCCGGCCAUAAGGUGGCGGCAACUUCAUACGGCUUCCAAGGCUUGAAAGAAACGGUAAAAAAGAGGAAACCGAAAGAAGAUUGAACAUUUGUCGCAUCUUCUGAUAAAGAAAAUGUAUGCGGUCACUACUGAUUGUGUAAACGCGUCACGACCGACGGAUGUUCAUUCAUCAGGUUCUCAUGUAUUGAACGACGAAGAGAGUUACCUAUUGACAGCUGUCGCAGGUAUUGGCAUCGUGCCAAGCUUCACAAAACUUAGAAACCCGGUCAGGCUGCAACGUUUACGGUUCGAGAGCCGGACAAUAAUUGUCGCUUAAAAACCGAUUGUUUGCGGAUACCUGCGAAUUUCUAUUGUCUGCCCGAUUGCUAAGGACAUCCCUGAAUUUUCAGAAGCAAGUCCGAGAAACUUUUUCGCCAGAACUAUGCGAGAGGAAUUUAGUCAGAAGGUGCAGAACACGGGGGACAAAAAAAAAGUAAAGAACGAGAACCUUGAACCAAUCGUAAAUGGCGCGGAGUGAAAGCGAUCGGUCACCACGUUUUUCCCAGAAGAACGCGAGCCACGAAAUUAUCGGCUUGUAAAUCGAACCGAAGGAUCUCGUUCCUUUUGCGGCAAAUAAGCGGCCGUCCGGUAAUCCAGUAGCGAAUCGAGCUCACGAAACGUCGAAAGUGAGGAACGCAAUCCUCAAUUAUCAAACCGUCCGACUAGACAAGUACCUGCGCUAAACAGCGCGCGUUCGCGGUUUACUUUACGAAACAUAUUAUUGCAUAUCGUUAAUUACAUUCGGCGGCAUUAUGCGAGUAAAAAGAAGAUUCUAUGACGGAGGACGCAUUAACCUUCGCUAUUAAUAAUCGUAUCACUUGUCUUCAUCUCGGCGGUUUUUGUCCGACGUAUCAUAAAGCGGUUACAAACGACGAGAAGAAUGCGGACGAUGUGACAAUAAGAAUGUAAGUUUGCUCAUUCUUACAUAAUAAUCACAUUACUGGCUCGCAAACUAUGUUCGUAUUCCGGAAUCACGCAUGCUCGCCGACGAAAGACAAGAGGACAAAUGAAAUUUAUAUAUUAUAUCUUCACCGCUUCUUCUCCGCUCGCUUCUUCUUUGCCGAGCGAAUGAUCCGACGGAAAAGCUCAUACGCGGUAUGCCCAAAAGUGCAAAACUCGCGCGAGCACGUAGCGUAAUGCAGAUAAAAGAAUUAAAAGAAGAAAGAAAAAUCAUCGCUCGGCGAUAUAUAUUGCCUGAACAUAUCGCCGGAUGCGAAUCCAUCGAUCGCGCGAAGCUUCGUUUUUCAUCCUGCGUGACGUACAUGCAUAAAUAAUUCGAGAAUUUUUUUACGCCAGACUCAUCUCACUCGUUUUUCGCUCGAUAUAUCAGACACGCACGAUAUUCGGUCGCUAUUCGGCCAUUUGACAGCUGUUCUUCCCGCAAUGCCCACCUACCGGUGCGUUCAAUCCCCAUAUAAAAAAAGGCUGCUGCCUGUAAAAGGACAACGCAUCCGCAAGUGUCUAUAACCACGGGGACACGUAUUCCCGAUAACUUUCCCUUCCCCGGGCAAUCUUUUUCGCGGUGAGCGGUGCGCAAUGCCGCGAUCGAUGCCAACGGAAAAAAUGCGGUCGAUGUUGCAGGAAGGACGCGACGUGGACACGCUCGAGAGAGGGUGCAGCAGGGCCGGCGCUUUCCGUGAAUGCUGGCGGCUCCGUUUGAUGCUUUUUAUCAGGGAGUCCCAGAUACAGAGCGUUCUCGCAGCGCGAUUGGCUCCUUCCACAUACUCCGAACGGCUAUUGGUCAUCUUCAGCGAAUUUAUCAUCUUCAUACGUAACAUUGAAGUUACAUUAUAUUGAACUUUUGCCCGAAUAUGAUAUAGUAUAACACUAAUAUAUUUAUAUAUCGUCACGUGCGGCAGGAUGAGCAUUUAUCAUGCUUUUUGAAAAUUCCGACCAUUAGAUCAAGAUUCCGAUAUCUUCAAUGUCAAAAACCGUGUAAUAUAAUCUCUAUAAACGCUACAAUAUCGUUUAAUAUUAAUAAAAUAUCCGCUCUUGAUAAUGUAAUAUUA